UACGUAGGGUGCGAGCGUUGUCCGGAAUUAUUGGGCGUAAAGAGCUCGUAGGCGGUGUGUCGCGUCGGUCGUGAAAACUUGGGGCUCAACCCUGAGCGUGCGGUCGAUACGGGCAUCACUUGAGUUCGGCAGGGGAGACUGGAAUUCCUGGUGUAGCGGUGAAAUGCGCAGAUAUCAGGAGGAACACCGGUGGCGAAGGCGGGUCUCUGGGCCGAUACUGACGCUGAGGAGCGAAAGCGUGGGGAGCGAACAGG
rnacentral:rRNA from 1 species